rnacentral:lncRNA from 1 species
GGGCACUCCAGGCUCUGGGCUCAGACGGCUGGCUUCUGCCUACCCGAGCCUUAACCUUUCAAGGACCAGAAGGAUUCCAGAGCUCUUGCCCUAGGUCCUGGGGCAGCGAUGACUCACUGCAGCACCCCCUCCCACUUCGCCAAGCUGCCGUCUCCGCCCACCCCCAAACAAUCUCGACAGCGCAUUUCGGGAGCCACGGCUCCGGGCGCUUUGCUGGGGGCUAAAGGGGUUUAUCCCUUUCCUUGAAUCCCAGCAGGCUAGAACUACCCCCUCCCAGUCUUCAGGCUUGCCACGCUCUCCACCCGAUCCUUCCAUUGAAAGGCAGAGAAGGAAGGAUGUGCUUGGGAACUUUAAGACCCACGAACGACAGCGCACUGAUGGAGCAGCCCAGUGUCUGGGGCAAAGUCCUCGAGGUUCAUUCAUUCAGGAAGCCUCUGACCAGCCUUUACCAUGCGCUGAGUGAGAAGCUGAGGAUAAGGAAAGAGCAAGACCCCCAAGAAACCCUGAUGUCUGGCUGAAAGCCGAAGCAUGACGCAACUUUGCUAUAUUUCUCUCCAACAAGGAUUUGUAUAUUUUCGCUUUCUCCUCAAGUAACACCUGGACCUGCUCCUUUCCCUUCAAACGCUGAGGGCUCAGUCUCCAAGUUCCUUUAUGAAACAGGGUGUACCAUCAGAGACGCAGGUAUUUAUUGAAACCUGCUUUGUGCUGGGCAAUGUGCCAGAUGUUGGGGAUAAAAUGGUGAGCAGACAGAUCCUGUGCCUGUCUUUAUUGAGCUUGGAGCCUAGAGACUUCAGAAAUGAAGAUGCAAAGACAACAGGGGAAACCAUAUAUGUUUAUGGACAGUCAUGCCAAAGUAUGAUUGGAAGACAAAAAGCUAGACCCACCUAAAAGUGAAGUUACAUAUGUGGAUGUUUAUAUGAAGAAUAAAGGACACAAGAAAGGAUUCAAGAAAUGAAAAACGGUGGAGGAAGAUAAACAUUUCAAGAUUCAGAUCACGUUGCUGCCCGAAUUCAGAGUGUCUCUAAGGAAAUAGCUAGAAGGGGUUUUCAACUCUCAGCUUCCUUCCAAGGAAUAAAGAAUUUGCUGUGAGCAAAAAAACUUGCCAAGAAAAUGCCAAUUUGUGUCACACUAACAUCUUUCUUAAGGCUGAACGUGGACUUCGGAAAUGUGAACCUUUGGCUCUGGUGAACACAGUCAGCCUUGAGGGUUUGAAAUUAGGUUCUUCAGAAGGACGGAAGGAAAUCUGAGAGAUCAACUUAGACACCCACUAAUUAGAAAAUGCACCGACACCAGAGACUUGUUUGCAAUGAGUGGUGGGGUCAACCUUUCCAUGGCACCUGACGUGAACUUAGAAAAAUGGAAUCCCUGAAAACGUUUGGAAAUGAUUUUAUCGGAGACAGAGAGAGACAGCAACUGCUGGAGGGAGAAAGAGAGGACAAAAGGCAAACCAAAGUGAGAUGCUGUAAUCGAGAAGACUUGGCGAGAACAAAUGGAAGAACGUUUGAACUUGCUUGUUGCAGACAAAACAACCUUCAAAGGCUACCUUUUUCCUAUUUGAUGGGGUAAAAUUGCUUCCACCAAUGCAUUAUACAUAUUUAAAACUCUCUUUCUGCAUUUAUAAUCUUCAUAGAUGCAGCUUCCUCCAAACUUAGGUAAUGAAUGUAAGAUGAUGCUCCCUUGGGGGUUGUAAAGACAAUCUAAGAACAAGUCAUUUCGGAGUAACAAACUUCACAGCUGGGGAUACUUUCCAUUGCAUAAGGCACCUACCCCUAAAGCUUUCAUUGUUUCACUCUUAGGCAGUUAUGUCAUUAUUUCACUUACCUCAUUGGGGAAAUCAUUGUUUAACAACCAAAUAUAAAUGGGGAAAUAGUCUUCUACUUUAUCUUCUCUAGGAUAACAGCUUCCCUCCCCCACUUCCCUCCACAGAAGGAUUAGUCCCAAAUGGGUGAUGAAUUGCUCUAAACAGUCCAACAAUCCCAGAGAGAGAAAUGAGAAGAAAAAUAACUAGCUGAUUACCAAUAGGGAACAAAUUGGCCACUUGAGAAUUCAGUGGCUAGAAUGACAAAUGAGAAAAUGAAAAUCCUCAUCAAGGGACUAGACUUGCUGAUUAGUCCAAGUGCAGAUGACCACUUCCCAUGCCUCUCCUGCCCUGCUGUGCGAUGAUUUACAUCUGAUUGAACAUUAUUUUUUAUUUGGGACCGGAUUUCUAAAAGGGUGUUUGGAAAACUUUGAAGUACUUAAUUAUAACCAGGAGGCAUUUGGGGGCUGAGCACUGAAAUGGAAGAUGCUCUGUGUUGGGCUUAUGGAAUGUUCAUUUAGGGAAGAACCCAUGUCUGCCUGGUUUGGUCUGGUUUUUCAUUCCAUCACCCCUUAAGGCAGCUUUCCAAGGUUUUCUGGACUCUGGAAGAAAAUAAAAAUGAGAAGCGUAUUCUUGGCCGAGGGAUCCACAUUGAAGGCAGACUCCAGGAUUUCAACAUGUGGAUAGACUGGGCUUUCUGUUAAUCAUCAAUUACUAAAAAUAGAAAUAAUCUGGGACUCCUUUGAAGGGAGACCAUUUUUUAUGAGACUUCAUUUGAACCAAUCUGUCAAGGGAAGUUGGGUAUAUAAUGAACAAUAGACAUUCUUAGUGGUGCUAAGUCAUAUAUGCAUGAAGAAAUAAAACAGGACUGUCAACCAUUAUCCUCCAAGUGGACAUAGUCACAUGAGCUACAGGAAUUAUGAGGAAAAGGGGAGGUGGAGAUUUUGAGUCAGGUGAUCAGGAUAGGAUUCAGAGAGAAAGGGUAAUAGGACUCAGGCCUUGAAGGAGGGAUAGAGCUAUAGUGAUUUCUGGGUGGGAAUCACUUGAAUGAAGAAUAGUACUGAUUUUUUUUUAAAUGAUUUGGUACAGAGUAGAAUGUGUGUCUUAAGCAAAGCGUUUUUCAGUACAGGAAUCUGGAAAGAUGAGACAGAACAUAAAAUUUUACAUGUAUGAAUGGGUCUUUAACACCAGGCAGAGAAUUGGGUUUGAUUCUAAAAGGACCAGAGGUACAUUAAGGAUUCUAAGGCAAGUUAGACUUGUUUUAGAGGUCUAUUUUCCUCAUCUGACAAAAAGAAUCAGCAAAACAGCAUUCUCUGUAACUUUUCCAACAAGUAAAAUCAACAUGUAAGACUGCCA